rnacentral:rRNA from 1 species
UGAACGCUAGCGGCAGGCCUAAUACAUGCAAGUCGGACGGGAUUCAGGGAGUAGCUUGCUACAAACUGAUGAGAGUGGCGCAUGGGUGCGUAACGCGUGAGCAACCUACCCAUAUCAGGGGGAUAGCCUCUCGAAAGAGAGAUUAACACCGCAUAACAUCAUUUACCGGCAUCGGAUUAUGAUCAAAUAUUUAUAGGAUAUGGAUGGGCUCGCGUGACAUUAGCUAGUUGGAGGGGUAACGGCCCACCAAGGCUACGAUGUCUAGGGGCUCUGAGAGGAGAAUCCCCCACACUGGUACUGAGACACGGACCAGACUCCUACGGGAGGCAGCAGUAAGGAAUAUUGGUCAAUGGAGGGAACUCUGAACCAGCCGUGCCGCGUGCAGGAUGACUGCCCUAUGGGUUGUAAACUGCUUUUGUCAGGGAAUAAACCUUUCCACGUGUGGGAAGCUGAAUGUACCUGAAGAAUAAGGAUCGGCU